CCCCCCCCCCCCCAAAAAAAAAACUCUUUUGAACCCCAAGUAACAAUGCCUUUCUAGGCAAGUUACUAGGGAAAACUUCAGAUCUGAGUUUUAACCAUUAGUCCCUUUUUAUAUUUCAUUUUAACUAAUUAGUCCCUCAAAUUAUGACUUGUUGGUCAAGUAAUACUACCAAGUUCCUAAAUUUCAAAUUAAAACCCUAACCUAGAAGCUUCUUUUUCAAUUAUAAGAGAUUUCCUAAACUAAAAUUCUUAAGCUACCCCUGACCAACCCUGUUAUAUACCCCUUAGUCUAAAAAGACCCUGGCCAAUUGGCCCAAGGCAGACGAGUCCAAAUAGACUUAGGUUGGCUCUUUGCCGAGCCUUUAUGUUUCCAGGCUCAAAUGGACUCAUUGGGCUAGGUAGAAUUGCCCAAGAGAAAAAUCACAAACCGUUUUUGGAAUAACAAGGUUAACUUGACUUAAAACAUGAUAACCUGAUUAACCAAUUUCAAUACUAACUUACUGGACCUAAUUUAAACCCAAGAAUUACACCUAGAAGACGAAUAAAAUUCAGUUAACACAGAAUGAGUUCUGAACUUAUAUCUUAUUCAAAUAGGACUGAGACUACUUGCAUGGAACCUAAUUCAAAUUUCGGAACUUAAACAUGAAAUUCAACUUAAUGAAGACCUACUAUAACUCAAACUAUACUCAGGAAUUAAAGGAUGUGGAAUUCAGGAAAGACUCAAUAACCUGAUUAAAAUCAAGAAAUUCAAUUCCAAACAAGGUCGACUAAAAACCAAUUAAACCUAUAAACCCUCGAACCAAUAAAAUUUUGACAUGAAAGCCCAAACUAACAAAAUGAGUAAUGGCAAUUAAAUUAGACCAAACUAAAGACCUAAUCUAAACUCUGAAAUCAAAUAAUAACAGCUAACCAUACAUAAAUGAGAUGAAGAAGAAUAAAAUUAAAAGGUAAAUCGAAAACUUAGCUUAAAAAAGAAAAUGUGUUGAACCCUGAAAAUCUUCAUGCACCUCUCCAAAAACCCUAGAUUCAGAUUUUGAGGAGUUGCAGGGACAGUCGAGGGAGACUGGUUGUGAUUCUGAGGUAAUGGAGGUGAGGAAACUGGGUGGUGUUAUUUUGUGGGUGGUUUGGUGGUAGUGAGGUUUGGUCGGAGUUCUUUGAUUUAUUAUUCGAGAUGCUUGGUGAAGAUUUGAGCGAAAGAACAUAUGGAUUUGGGAUAAGGGAGGUCUGGUGGUUAUGUGGUGUUAUUUUGAGACUAUUUGGCUUCAACGCCGCCAUACACGACGGAGCAGCCGACAUUUCAAUUGAAUAUUCGACGGGAUUGGCUGCGAUUUAUGGGCUAGUAAUAGUAGAUCUAGAAAGAGGAAGACAGAGAGAAUGGUUGGCGGAGGUGAUUUUUGGCCUGCGGCACAUGGCGGAAGGAGGCGACAUUAGGGUUUUUGGGAUAGACAAGGUACGAGGUUCUAUUUAGUGGGUGGGGGUGUUUAAAACACUUAUGUACAAAGUAACACCUAGCUUCAAUACCGUUUGAUCAAAAGAAAAUGGAUGGCUCUGAUUGGCCGUUACAAAACGACGUCAUUUAGUUGUUGUCUCAUAUGAGACUGGGUUGGGGACAGUUUGUGGGCCGGGUCUUGGGUAUUUUAAAUGGGUUUGGCUGAUUAGGCUAGGAUUUUAUUUAAUGAAAUUACCCAAAAUUGGUCUUCAUUUUUCCAAAAUUUUUCUUUUUCAAAUUCUUUGAAUUUUCUUUUUUUUUUCAUUUUCCAAAAUAUUAAAAAUCCUAGAUAAAUCACAAAAUUCCAAUUUUACCUAAAAAAAUGGAAAACAAUCCCAUAUAAUUAUGAUCAAAAUGAGAUAAAAGGAAAAAUUAUCUAAAAAUUCAAAAAUUAAAAUCAAGAAAGCAAAUUGAACCUAUUUUGUGGUUUUUUCUUUUAUAAAAUGAUUAAUUGCUAAUGGAUGAUCAAAUCAACUUUAAAAUGUGCAUGCAACAUUUUUUGUAUUUUCAAGAAUUAUCUAAAUAAAAAAUGCAAACACAAAAAUUGUGCAAUUAAUCCUAAAAAUCAAAUAAUUAAAAGGAAAAAUCCAAAAUCUAAGAAAUUUAUAGAAGUAAUUCAUGCGGGGCAAAAAUCACAUGCUCACACUAAGGGUAAAACAACAUUAAUGGCCAUGCAAUUGUCAUUUUUGUUUGGCAUGGCACCCCUCAAUUCUAAUUUAAAAGGGUCAAUUCAACUACAUUCGGAGGGCCAUAACCGUUUAUGUUAUCGAAUAUGGCUUACCUCAACUAGUUAAAAGUCUAAUCAAUUAAUACUAAAUGUAAUUAAAGGUUCUAUUUAAGCUAGCUAGGGUGGCUUAUGUAAGGGAAAACUAAUGUUUUUUAUCGGAAAACUUGAGCCACCACAAAGGUUUGGAGGCCCAAACAAAGAAAUGAUCUUCCUCUGAUGUGAAGGGACCCUCAGAAGUACACCUCAAAAUGGCCCAAAUGUGGGACCUUGCAGUUGUUGAGUCAGGACCCAGCAUUGAAUCCUUACCAUAUGAACAACUCUGAAGGUUGUCAGUGAAUUCUAAUCAUUUUUAGCCGAUCUAAUAACACAUAAUUACGGUUUGAUCAUGAAAGCAAUUCCAAUUUCAACGAUUAACAAAAGGCAAUGGAAUUUUACAAUUUCAAUCAACAACGCAGCCAAUCACACUGCUAUCGAACAGAAGUUACCAUAUCUAAUGAUGUUUGAUCAUUCAACAUCUAAUUAAGCAAAAAGCUACUCAGAAUUAUAUGUAGAACUCCAUUAUUGACCCAACUAAGCAAACAUGUUGUUCUAACUUUCAAGCUGAUUUAAACAUUAUGACCAUGUCCAUUUACACAAUACCGGUUUUCAAAUUACAGAAUAUUCGACCAAAAUUGAAUCCAUGUUCAUUUCAAACCAAACUCAACCCCUAAAAGCACUAUCACUGACCAAUAUUCAAACGUAAACAUAUUCAAACUAAAACUCAAAAUAAAGACAAAAUUAAACUCUUCUAAUGAGAAUAAAUGGCCAGCAUGCUUCAACUCUUCCUGAUUUCCAUAUCACAAAAGGUUUUACAGCGGGUUGAGUAAAAAUGUACUUAGAAAUGAGAGUAAAAGUGGUAAGAUUCAGCAGCAGCAAUAACAGGACCCAACAGUAGAAAUAAACCAGGGAAGUAGCUUUAAACCAACAAAAAACUGAUGCUCACCAAUCAAAAUCCACAACCAAAAAACUUCCAAUACCAGAUUCAACCCAUCUCAGCCCAGCAAGUUUAGAAGCUAUUUUGGGAAUUAGAAAUUGAAGAGAUCACAAGAAGAACCCAAUAAAACGGUAACUUCCACAAACUUCAAACCAAAAUUCCCCACAAAUCAACACCAAACCUAGUCCAUUUCAAUCUUCAAACUAUUCAGAAAUUAUCUCAAAAUUGUAGGCUACAACAGCCAAAGGAAAGAGAAGGAAACUUAAUGAAAACAGUAGAGAAUAUUUGGUCGUUGUAUUUUCUGGAAUUCUCUAUCACUCAAUUCUGCCUUGCAAGGUAAGAAUGAGAUGCUUUUAUAGGUAAGCAAAUAGGGCAAAUUUUAGGAUUUUAAUUUUGCACUCUGCCCCC
rnacentral:lncRNA from 1 species